UACGUAGGGGGCAAGCGUUGUCCGGAAUCAUUGGGCGUAAAGCGCGUGUAGGCGGUCCGGUAAGUCCGCUGUAAAAGUCGGGGGCUCAACCCUCGGAUGCCGGUGGAUACUGUCGGGCUUGAGUACGGAAGAGGCGAGUGGAAUUCCUGGUGUAGCGGUGAAAUGCGCAGAUAUCAGGAGGAACACCAAUUGCGAAGGCAGCCCGCUGGGACGUUACUGACGCUGAGACGCGAAAGCGUGGGGAGCGAACAGG
rnacentral:rRNA from 1 species